AACGAACGCUGGCGGCAUGCCUAACACAUGCAAGUCGAACGAGACCUUCGGGUCUAGUGGCGCACGGGUGCGUAACGCGUGGGAACCUGCCCUUAGGUUCGGAAUAACUCCGCGAAAGGGGUGCUAAUACCGGAUAAUGUCUUCGGACCAAAGAUUUAUCGCCUUUGGAUGGGCCCGCGUUGGAUUAGCUAGUUGGUAGGGUAAAAGCCUACCAAGGCGACGAUCCAUAGCUGGUCUGAGAGGAUGAUCAGCCACACUGGGACUGAGACACGGCCCAGACUCCUACGGGAGGCAGCAGUGGGGAAUAUUGGAAAAUGGGCGAAAGCCUGAUCCAGCAAUGCCGCGUGAGUGAUGAAGGCCUUAGGGUUGUAAAGCUCUUUUACCCGGGAUGAUAAUGACAGUACCGGGAGAAUAAGCUCCGGCUAACUCCGUG
rnacentral:rRNA from 1 species